CUUCUUCACCCAUCAGAUAUAUUCGGGGUUUAAAAGGGUAUUUUUUGACAUUCGACUGGAGAAUGCCCUUUCAAAUCCUGGGUCUCUCUGAGCCUGACAUC
rnacentral:pre_miRNA from 1 species